GCCGGGCUGGCGGAGGGCGGGCCGGGGCCGCUGCCAGGAUCCAGCUGGGUGCUGGGCCGGGGCCGAACGCUCGGCCCGCCAUGGAGGUGGAGGAGGCGUUCCAGGCGGUGGGCGAGAUGGGCAUCUACCAGAUGUACCUGUGCUUCCUGCUGGCCGUGCUGCUGCAGCUCUACGUGGCCACGGAAGCCAUCCUCAUUGCGCUGGUCGGGGCCACACCGUCGUACCACUGGGACCUGGCGGAGCUCCUGCCCAACCAGAGUCACAGCAACCAGUCGGCUGGUGAAGACCAGGCCCUUGGGGCCUGGCUCCUGACGGCCAACGGCAGCGAGAUGCACAAGCAUGUGCACUUCAGUAGCAGCUUUACCUCCAUCGCCUCUGAGUGGUUUUUAAUUGCCAACAGAUCUUACAAAGUGAGCGCAGCAAGCUCUUUUUUCUUCAGUGGUGUGUUUGUGGGAGUUAUCACUUUUGGUCAACUCUCUGAUCGCUUCGGAAGGAAAAAAGUCUAUCUCACAGGUUUUGCUCUUGACAUCUUGUUUGCUAUUGCAAAUGGCUUUUCCCCCUCAUAUGAGUUCUUUGCAAUAACUCGCUUCCUGGUGGGCAUGAUGAAUGGAGGGAUGUCGCUGGUGGCCUUUGUCCUGCUGAACGAAUGUGUGGGCACCGCCUACUGGGCACUCGCAGGGUCAAUUGGUGGCCUCUUCUUCGCAGUCGGCAUCGCCCAAUAUGCCCUGUUGGGAUACUUCAUCCGUUCCUGGAGGACCCUAGCCAUACUGGUUAACCUGCAGGGAACAGUGGUCUUUCUCUUAUCUUUAUUCAUUCCUGAAUCACCUCGUUGGUUAUACUCCCAGGGUCGACUGCGUGAGGCUGAAGCGGCUCUGUACCUCAUCGCCAAGAGGAACCGCCAGCUCAAGUGCACCUUCUCACUAACACACCCGGCCAACAGGAGCUGCAAGGAGACCGGCAGCUUCCUGGACCUGUUCCGUUACCGGGUCCUCUUGGGGCACACUCUGACCCUGAUGUUCAUCUGGUUUGUGUGCAGCCUGGUGUAUUAUGGCCUCACCCUGAGUGCAGGUGAUCUAGGUGGAAACAUUUAUGCCAACUUAGCCCUGUCUGGCCUCAUAGAGAUUCCAUCUUACCCUGUCUGCAUAUACUUGAUUAACCAAAGAUGGUUUGGUCGGAAGCGGACAUUGGCAGCAUUUCUAUGCCUCGGAGGACUGGCUUGUCUUAUUGUCAUGUUUCUUCCAGAAAAGAAAGACACAGGUGUGUUUGCCGUGGUGAACAGCCAUUCCUUGUCCCUGCUAGGAAAGCUGACCAUCAGCGCUGCCUUCAACAUUGUAUAUAUCUACACCUCGGAGCUAUACCCCACAGUCAUCAGGAAUGUUGGGCUUGGAACUUGCUCCAUGUUCUCCCGAGUUGGUGGGAUCAUUGCUCCCUUCAUCCCCUCACUGGUUGAAGUAUGUGCAAUGGUCUUUACCCUUCAUUGUCUUUGGAGCCACAGGGCUGACCUCAGGCCUCCUGAGUUUAUUAUUGCCAGAAACCCUUAACAGCCCAUUGCUGGAGACAUUUUCUGACCUUCAGGUAUACUCAUAUCGGAGGCUAGGGGAGGAAGCAUUAUCUUUGCAGACCUUGGAUCCCCCUCAGUCUGUGGACAAGGAGAGCCCUUUAGGGAGCGAGAGUGACGAAGAGGAAGAGUUUUAUGAUGCAGAUGAAGAGACUCAGAUGAUCAAGUGAGGAACCCUCAGGUUCCUCCUCAGAAGCAGAGGAUCAUUUUCUGUGCCUCUGUUGAAGGCAGGUGCUCCUGGGAAAUUGCAGAGAGCUGUGGAAAGAAAGGCUUGAACAAACAGAAGGUACUCUGUAUGGCCUGAUGUUUUAUAGGCAGCAAGGAAGUUGGAGAAGAGAUUUCCAUGAACCGGACAUCACUGCCUUGAGUAAAAAGCUAUUAUUACUUGCCUACAAUUGAGGUAUAGUGCAGAAUCAUGACCUUUGGCCAGAUUGCUCAAUUCUGCAUGCCAGAGUGGUAAGCUCAGUUGUUUCUAGAAGUUUGAUUACGUUGCCUUUCAACUUCAUUGUGACCUAAAGGCAAAUAUGUAAAAUUUCUUCUCACCAUUAAGAUGGAAUCUGUGUACCAGAGUUGACAUCUGCCCCUCUAGCGGUUGCUCCUCACUAGGAAUCUUUGGAGGCAAGUUGAUGUUAGCAUUGCAUUCAUUUUUGUGCCAGAAGAAAAGCAUUGAGAAAUCAUUUGUAUGACCUGAGGCCCUCCAGCUUCAGCCCAGGAGAUGAAAUCUGGGCCCUCAGCUUGGUCCCUGGUCCAGUGAUUGGUUCCAGCUCCUUGUGUUAGUCUGACAGAUGACCCACUAGAAAAAUCCAGCUGCACCAAAGUAACUUCAGAGUCCGAGGUGUGGCUGCACCCCCUCCAAACCCCCAGCAGCUCCCUCUGAUACUCAAAUUUCCAUCUCAGAUUCUAGUACCAGCAAAACUUCCAGACAUGCCCAGUAAAUGAUGACAUUUUAUAAAGGGGAAGGGCAGUUAAAAAGUGACAUGUCGAGCCCUUCUUUUGAGCCCUUGGAUGCUUAAAGGGGAGAAAAAAGAUGUUGUUUUUAAUAAGGAAGAAAAGAAAAUUAUCUUUCACAAUGUUAUGUUUGUUUUGUCUUUAGUGUUGUGCAAGGAGGGACUUGGGCAACCUUUAAGGGCUUGAACUCCUUUAGUCCUAGGUCAGCCCCAGCCUGUUGAGUUUAGCUAGAAUGGAAGUCACAGGAAUUUCCUAGGAAAUGUUGGUUUUCAUUAAGUACUACCAGCUUUCAAAUAAAAUCUGUCAUACUCUGUUUCCUUAAAUCAUGUGCUGGAAGUGUUUCCUGUGAAACUCGAGUGUUAUGUCAAAAAGAAGUGUUAUCUUGGAGUCAACAAGCUUGGACAGCGUUGCUUUAGGUCAGUUUCCCAACUGGGACCGUUUCUGUGUUUUCAGAAUUUCCAUUUCUGCUAAUCUCUUGGAGAAAAAGAAAUUUCAUUAGAAAUAGAAGUCAUCACUGUGUCUGUUUCUGGAAAUCUUGGAGGACUCACCUCGAAUUGGCUCCAACCCUCUCCUGUCUUCUUCCAUUUACCUCUUGGUUUGUACUCUACUAGCCUGAACCUAUGUAUUUGUUAAAGUGUUUUAUAUCCUUUAUGCCCUUAUGUAUGGGGUUCUUUAUAAAUAAUAAGCAUCUCUACUGCUGUUUAUUUCUCUCCGCUGUGCCCAGAACACAACAUGUAUUGCUGUUUCCAGCCGUCAAGGAAGUUGUAGAACUCCUGUAGUAUCGUUUUUGUCCAUCACAGGCAAACCUGACCCAAAGCCCCAAGCUGUGGAAUCUUGGCAUCUUUCUCUGGGAGAUGGAGACCCUGCCCACCGUCAAGAGAAGAAGAAAGGAAGAACUUACAAGGACACUUCGAAGCUCUUUGUUGUGAAGUUAAACGUAAAACAACAAGCUAACAUGUAGGUGAUUCUUGGCUGGUUGUCAGCCUCUUUGCAUUAUAAGAGUAAUAACCCCAUUAUCAAAAAAUGUGGAAAUUAGAAGUUAAAAAAAUGUAUUACUCAUAGACUCAAUACCCAGAGACAGCCGGUGCUGUGGCUUUGUUCUCUUUGAAGACUAACUGGUAAUCCAUCUUUUUUGUUGGCACUGGGGUUCCCUCUGCCUCUGACUAGAUAAAUAAGGACUCCAUUAGUUCUGUCCCUGGGUAUUCUCUUCUUCCAACUCUAGGAUAGAAGAAGGUGGGAAGGAAAUACAGUUUGAAUACAUGUUGCUAAGGCUGGACUACCAGCUGCUCAUGUCAGAUGUGUCGCUAAAUUUCUUUGGUGUUUCUUUCUUGAUGGUCUUUUGGCAAAGUUUAAUAAUUUGCCUUUUGUAAAAACAAAUUUUGUUUCCUUUUGCUGUUAACUGUGGAAAAAUAGUGAUUGUGGAGAUUGUGCACAUGAGUACAUUUGUGUUGAUUAAAUUAUUGGAAAACUCUUAAUUUAUAGGUAACAUAUGUUGUUUGCUCAGAUGAUGUGUAAAAGGUUUUCUUUUAAAUGUCUUUAUUGUAUUCAAAAGUAAAUUUCUUUUCUCCAAAAAAGCAACAAGAAAAAUGUAAGACACAUGAGAAAUCCCAGGGCUUCCAGGAUCUAAGGUCUUAUCAACAGCUUGUCCAGAACUUAAGCACCACACAGAUGUCUUGAAAGAAACUGUGCUAUAGUUUUUUGAUCAGUGAAUUAAAAACCACUGCCCAUUGAAAAUGCA